AGUGAACGCUGGCGGUAGGCCUAACACAUGCAAGUCGAACGGCAGCACAGUAAGAGCUUGCUCUUACGGGUGGCGAGUGGCGGACGGGUGAGGAAUACAUCGGAAUCUACUUUUUCGUGGGGGAUAACGUAGGGAAACUUACGCGAAUACCUCAUACGACCUACGGGUGAAAGCAGGGGAUCUUCGGACCUUGCGCGAUUGAAUGAGCCGAUGUCGGAUUAGCUAGUUGGCGGGGUAAAGGCCCACCAAGGCGACGAUCCGUAGCUGGUCUGAGAGGAUGAUCAGCCACACUGGAACUGAGACACGGUCCAGACUCCUACGGGAGGCAGCAGUGGGGAAUAUUGGACAAUGGGCGCAAGCCUGAUCCAGCCAUACCGCGUGGGUGAAGAAGGCCUUCGGGUUGUAAAGCCCUUUUGUUGGGAAAGAAAAGCAGCAGGUUAAUACCCCGCUGUUCUGACGGUACCCAAAGAAUAAGCACCGGCUAACUUCGUG
rnacentral:rRNA from 1 species